UUUUUAAUAACUAAUUGAAAUUUAUUGUUUUUAUUUAAGGCCCCAUCUGAUUUUUAAAAAUGUCAUUAAAACUUAUUAAUAUAAUAUCUUUAUGUCGUGGUUGAACUCAUAUAAUGAAAAGGUCGACGGUUCUCGUUCCUCAGGACGAUAUCCUUUUGAG
rnacentral:sRNA from 1 species